rnacentral:hammerhead_ribozyme from 1 species
AUUCGGCCGACGAGUCUCAAAUAGGACGAAACGCGCGCCCUGGAU